UACGUAGGGGGCUAGCGUUGUCCGGAAUCAUUGGGCGUAAAGAGCGUGUAGGCGGUCCGGUAAGUCCGCUGUGAAAGUCGGGGGCUCAACCCUCGAAUGCCGGUGGAUACUGUCGGGCUAGAGUACGGAAGAGGCGAGUGGAAUUCCUGGUGUAGCGGUGAAAUGCGCAGAUAUCAGGAGGAACACCUAUGGCGAAGGCAGCUCUCUGGGACGGUACUGACGCUGAGACGCGAAAGCGUGGGGAGCGAACAGG
rnacentral:rRNA from 1 species